rnacentral:rRNA from 1 species
AUUGAACGCUGGCGGCAGGCCUAACACAUGCAAGUCGAGCGGGGUUUUCGGACCUAGCGGCGGACGGGUGAGUAAUGCGUAGGAAGCUACCCGAUAGAGGGGGAUACCAGUUGGAAACGACUGUUAAUACCGCAUAAUGUCUACGGACCAAAGUGUGGGACCUUCGGGCCACAUGCUAUCGGAUGCGCCUACGUGGGAUUAGCUAGUUGGUGAGGUAAUGGCUCACCAAGGCGACGAUCCCUAGCUGGUUGGAGAGGAUGAUCAGCCACACUGGAACUGAGACACGGUCCAGACUCCUACGGGAGGCAGCAGUGGGGAAGAUUGGACAAUGGGCGCAAGCCUGAUCCAGCCAUGCCGCGUGUGUGAAGAAGGCCUUCGGGUUGUAAAGCACUUUCAGUAGGGAGGAAGCGUUGUGUGUUAAUAGUACACAGCGUUGACGUUACCUACAGAAGAAGCACCGGCUAACUCUGUGCCAGCCGCCGCCGUAAGAC